CCUACGGGAGGCUGCAGUCGAGAAUCUUCCGCAAUGGGCGCAAGCCUGACGGAGCGACGCCGCGUGGAGGAUGAAGGCCUUCGGGUUGUAAACUCCUGUCACGAGUUAAGAAGAGGCUAUUACGAACAGUGGUAGUCUUUGACGUAAGCUCGAGAGGAAGCACUGGCUAACUCUGUGCCAGCAGCCGCGGUAAUACAGAGAGUGCGAACGUUGUUCGGAAUUACUGGGCUUGAAGCGCACGUAGGCGGCACCGUAAGUGUCGGGUGAAAUCCCACGGCUCACCCGUGGAACUGCCCGGCAUACUGCGGUGCUCGAGUGUGGUAGGGGAGAGCGGAACUCCUGGUGGAGCGGUGAAAUGCGUAGAUAUCAGGAGGAACACCGGUGGCGAAGGCGGCUCUCUGGUCCACAACUGACGCUGAGGUGCGAAAGCUAGGGGAGCA
rnacentral:rRNA from 1 species